GUUCAAACCUUAGCCUCGGCAUGGUGCUCUACCCAACUUUUUCUUUUUUUAGUACUUGGAAAACAUUAACAUCUAUAAUAAAUCCAAAAAUCUCAUCCAUUAUUCUCUAAGAGACCAACAUACAAAAUUGACGAAACACAAAGUCACGGUCUCACAACAUGUAAUUAAACGGGCUACACGUGUUUCGCUCUAGUUAGAGCAUCAUCAGGCCUUUAGAAGCCAUCCACACACUUAUGCUGUAACUGAUGAUGCUCUAACUAGAGCGAAACACGUGUAGCCCGUUUAAUUACAUGUUGUGAGACCGUGACUUUGUGUUUUUCUUUGUUUUUCGUCAAUCUAUAGUAAAUACAGAGAGAAAAGGAAAGGUCUUAUUAUAUAUUAUAAUCAAAAAUAAAUUUCAUUGAAAUAUUACUAACUUAUUUCUGGGUAUCAUGCUUCAGAGAACCAUGAUGUGUUACAAUACGCUCCGCUCUUUAAUUUUAGUUUAGUAGAAAAUAUUCUCAAAACCUACAUAUAUCAAAAUUAUGUCAGGGUUCUAAAAUGAAUCGGUAAUAAAAUCGUAAACCAGAUCAACAUUGGAAAUAAUUUAAAAAAUUUGCUUUGGUCCGAUUGAAAAAAGUACUAUACUACCAAAUAGUUACAUCUAUUCUGUAGCAAUAAAAGUUAUAAAAUUCUGUCUAUUAUUAAUUUUAAUAUUAUAAAGUGUAUCGUUUAACUCUUAGCCAUUAUUUAUAAUUUAAUUGUUAAUUAUGCCUAAAAAAACGAAUUAACAACUUUGGUAUUGUUUGGAAGGUAAACAGCUUAAUUCCUUUAUGUAAAGCCACCUUAACAUGUUUUUGCAUAAUUCUGACUCACGUUGGUUGCUAUCGGGCUUAAGCCAUAAAAAUCGAAGAAAAAAAGAAGAAGACGAAGAGACUUUCACUUGUCAUUUCAAUGUCACUUUCCGGCCCACAAGCAUAAACGCCACCGGCAACGGAAGUUCCCAAAAUCCAAACAAAUGUUGGAAGAUAUUUUUAAGUCUCCGCAUCUUUCUUACUUUCCUAUAUGAAAAUAAAAUGUAAGUAUCACAAUUACACACAUACAAGUUUUUUUUUUUAAUUCAGUUUCAUAAUUACCAAUUUUUAGUGAAUAAUCCUGAAAUUUAUGAAAAUACAUACAUUUUAAGGUUAUGUCAUAAUGUUUUGAUUGUUAUAUUUGAUUUUGUUUUUGUUAUUUUAGUGGACUACACCAACAAAGGUUAUGUGUUUUGCACCAGAUUGAAAGCAUCAUAGCGAAAAACGGACCUGUCAUAUCUUUAAAUUUUCAAAAGAGCCCCUGGAAAAAGAAAAAUGAAUAUCUUUGCCAAGGAAUAGGUACUAAGGCAAAUGGAUAAAAAACCUUCAGUCCAUGCAUUGGUAUGUAAUUGUUGACAAAAAUACAAUGAAUGGCCUCACUACUUUUCCACAUGCAAAGAGGUUAACCAAGGAGAAAUUAAAGAAAUUGUCAAAAACCUAGGUAAAUACAGAAUUGCUUAGUACAAACAUAUCUAUACCCAGUACAAGUUCGUCCACUUCUUUGAAGCAUGGUACUUCAAACAGAGACACUGUCAACAAUUUUGUAGAAGGUGAGCCGGUGUCAAAUUCCAGUAAGGGACAUGAUUUCAAUUUUGCACCAACAGCAGAGCUAAAAUUCAUUUUGCCGCAAAAAACUGGAGGAUGUGAAAGAAAAAAGUGCAGAAGUUAAAAUUAAGUUUUUCAUAUGAGCACAUAAAAAAUAAUCAUGACAAAGUUCAGUUGUAUACAGGUUUGACAUGUAAUAAAUAUUUUUGUAAUCUUAUUAAGUUAAUUAGUUUUAUAUAUUAUUUAAAUAAUAAUUGUAUACUUCACAUAGAA